AUUGAACGCUGGCGGCAUGCUUUACACAUGCAAGUCGAACGGUAACAGGCCGCAAGGUGCUGACGAGUGGAGAACGGGUGAGUAAUGCAUCGGAACGUGCCCAGUCGCGGGGGAUAACUACUCGAAAGAGUAGCUAAUACCGCAUACGAGCUAUGGAUGAAAGCGGGGGACCGUAAGGCCUCGCGCGAUUUGACCGGCCGAUGUCAGAUUAGGUAGUUGGUGGGGUAAAGGCUCACCAAGCCAACGAUCUGUAGCUGGUCUGAGAGGACGACCAGCCACACUGGGACUGAGACACGGCCCAGACUCCUACGGGAGGCAGCAGUGGGGAAUUUUGGACAAUGGGCGCAAGCCUGAUCCAGCAAUGCCGCGUGCAGGAAGAAGGCCUUCGGGUUGUAAACUGCUUUUGUACGGAACGAAACGGCUCUGGUUAAUACCCGGGGCUAAUGACGGUACCGUAAGAAUAAGCACCGGCUAACUACGUG
rnacentral:rRNA from 1 species